rnacentral:misc_RNA from 1 species
AUGCCUAACCAAGCACGCCACAGCUCUGGAAGUUAGUUAGAGAAAAGGACUUGGUGGUAACAAGAAAUUGUUCAUCCUUAAAAUUCAAGAAUUUCAUGAAUAAAAACAUACUGUUUCAAUCAGGAACUUUGUUUAUGAAGUUGCAUUAAAAGAUUGGAAACAUAAUAUGAUAGAUAAUGCCACAAAGACAUUACCUGCCUCCUUGGAAAUGAUGUUCACAAGUUCCAUGAAAAAAAGACAAGUGGCCUUUUAAUGAAAUAAAGGGAACAAUGGCAUAUUCUCAUAUGGGAACAAUUAAUAGCUUAAUUCUAAACUAACCACACACAUAGCUAUCCAAGUACACAAAAGACAAAAUAAUCUUAAGGCUCAAUUCAAUAUAUGAGCUUCAUUCUUCAAUUAAACACCAGAUUUUGUUCCAAAAUGUCAAAGACAAUAAUGAUGCAGUUACACUGAAUAACAAAGUGAAGUUUGAUCAUGUUGAACAAACAUUAAUGUUGAAAAUGGGCAACUA